rnacentral:lncRNA from 1 species
AAUGUAUGAUGUCUCUAGUCUGGUCAAAGGGUCAGAGUGUCCUACUUAAUUAAACGAUAAAUUGUUGAAAUUAGAUAACAUGUUUUCACGUGCAGAUAAAUUUCACUUAUGACCAAUGCAUGAUUGGAUUUCAUCUUUCUAAUUGGUCAAUGAUCUUGCGGGUCAGCACGAGUUCACGUGUAAGUGCAUUGUGGUCACUUACUUUUAUCAUCAGCAUUUGAUGUGUUAACUUGUGAUUCUUAUCAAACAAUUUGUUAAAAAUUCCCACCCACAUACCUCCCUUAAUGUUAUAUUUUGAAGUAUAUAUGUUUAUUUAUG